CCUACGGGAGACAGCAGUGAGGAAUAUUGGUCAAUGGGCGGGAGCCUGAACCAGCCAAGCCGCGUGAGGGAAGAAGGUACAGCGUAUCGUAAACCUCUUUUGUCAGGGAACAAAGGCGGGGACUAGUCCCCGGAUGAGGGUACCUGAAGAAAAAGCAUCGGCUAACUCCGUGCCAGCAGCCGCGGUAAUACGGAGGAUGCGAGCGUUAUCCGGAUUUAGUGGGUUUAACGGGUGCGCAGGCGGCCUGUUAAGUCAGCGGUAAAAGCCCGGGGCUAAACCCCGGCGAGCCGUUGAAACUGGCGGGCUGGAGUUGGAGAGAAGUACGCGGAAUGCGCGGUGUAGCGGUGAAAUGCUUAGAUAUCGCGCAGAACCCCGAUUGCGAAGGCAGCGUACCGGCUCCACACUGACGCUGAGGCACGAAAGCGUGGGUAUCGAACAGGAUUAGAUACCCUUGUAGUC
rnacentral:rRNA from 1 species